rnacentral:rRNA from 1 species
CCCAGUGAACGGCGGCCGUAACUAUAACGGUCCUAAGGUAGCGAAAUUCCUUGUCGGGUAAGUUCCGACCCGCAUGAAAGGCGUAAUGAUUUGGGCGCUGUCUCAACGAGGGGCCCGGUGAAAUUGAAAUACCUGUGAAGAUGCAGGUUACCCGCGACUGGACAGAAAGACCCCAUGGAGCUUUACUGCAGCUUGAGAUUGAAUCCCGGUGGCAGACGCACAGGAUAGGUGGGAGGCUUUGAGAUAGUGACUUUGGUUGCUAUGGAGCCGACGUUGGGAUACCACCCUUCUGUUGCUGGGAUUCUAACGCGAAGAUUAACAACCUUGCGGACCAUCUCAGGUAGGCGGUUUGACUGGGGCGGUCGCCUCCGAAAGAGUAACGGAGGCGCCCAAAGGUUCCCUCAGGCCGGACAGAAACCGGCCGAAGAGUGCAAAGGCAGAAGGGAGCUUGACUGCGAGACAGACAAGUCGAGCAGAGACGAAAGUCGGGCUUAGUGAUCCGGUGGUACUGCGUGGAAAGGCCAUCGCUCAACGGAUAAAAGCUACCCUGGGGAUAACAGGCUAAUCUCUCCCAAGAGUUCAUAUCGACGGGGAGGUUUGGCACCUCGAUGUCGGCUCAUCACAUCCUGGAGCUGGAGUAGGUUCCAAGGGUUGGGCUGUUCGCCCAUUAAAGUGGUACGCGAGCUGGGUUCAAAACGUCGUGAGACAGUUUGGUUCAUAUCCAUCGCGGGCGCAAGAAGUUUGAGGGAGGCUGCUCCUAGUACGAGAGGACCGGAGUGGACGGAUCAACGGUGUACCAGUUGUCACGCCAGUGGCACGGCUGGAAAGCCGCAUCCGGAAAGGAUAAACGCUGAAAGCAUCUAAGCGUGAAGCCCGUCCCAAGAUGAGACUUCUCAUCAGCAAUGAGUAAGACCCCUUAAAGACGAUGAGGUUGAUAGGCUGUGAGUGGAAGAGCCGCGAGGCUUGGAGCGACGCAGUACUAAUAGGUCGAGGUCUUAACUUA